rnacentral:rRNA from 1 species
GAUGAACGCUGGCGGCGUGCCUAAUACAUGCAAGUCGAGCGAACAGACGAGGAGCUUGCUCCUCUGACGUUAGCGGCGGACGGGUGAGUAACACGUGGAUAACCUACCUAUAAGACUGGGAUAACUUCGGGAAACCGGAGCUAAUACCGGAUAAUAUAUUGAACCGCAUGGUUCAAUAGUGAAAGACGGUUUUGCUGUCACUUAUAGAUGGAUCCGCGCCGCAUUAGCUAGUUGGUAAGGUAACGGCUUACCAAGGCGACGAUGCGUAGCCGACCUGAGAGGGUGAUCGGCCACACUGGAACUGAGACACGGUCCAGACUCCUACGGGAGGCAGCAGUAGGGAAUCUUCCGCAAUGGGCGAAAGCCUGACGGAGCAACGCCGCGUGAGUGAUGAAGGUCUUUGGAUCGUAAAACUCUGUUAUUAGGGAAGAACAAAUGUGUAAGUAACUAUGCACGUCUUGACGGUACCUAACCAGAAAGCCACGGCUAACUACGUG